rnacentral:rRNA from 1 species
AUCGAACGCUGGCGGAAUGCUUUACACAUGCAAGUCGGACGGCAGCACGGACUUCGGUCUGGUGGCGAGUGGCGAACGGGUGAGUAAUGUAUCGGAACGUGCCCAGUCGUGGGGGAUAACGUAGUGAAAAUUACGCUAAUACCGCAUACGAUCUAUGGAUGAAAGCGGGGGAUCGCAAGACCUCGCGCGAUUGGAGCGGCCGAUAUCAGAUUAGGUAGUUGGUGGGGUAAAGGCCCACCAAGCCAACGAUCUGUAGCUGGUCUGAGAGGACGACCAGCCACACUGGAACUGAGACACGGUCCAGACUCCUACGGGAGGCAGCAGUGGGGAAUUUUGGACAAUGGGCGAAAGCCUGAUCCAGCCAUUCCGCGUGCAGGAUGAAGGCCCUCGGGUUGUAAACUGCUUUUGUACAGAACGAAAAGGUUUCUACUAAUACUAGGAGCUCAUGACGGUACUGUAAGAAUAAGCACCGGCUAACUACGUGCCAGCCGCCGCUGUAA